UACGUAGGGUGCAAGCGUUGUUCGGAAUCAUUGGGCGUAAAGCGCGUGUAGGCGGCUUUGCAAGUCGGGUGUGAAAGCCCUCAGCUCAACUGAGGAAGUGCGCCCGAAACUGCAGAGCUUGAGUGCCGGAGAGGGUGGCGGAAUUCCCCAAGUAGAGGUGAAAUUCGUAGAUAUGGGGAGGAACACCGGUGGCGAAGGCGGCCACCUGGACGGUAACUGACGCUGAGACGCGAAAGCGUGGGGAGCAAACAGG
rnacentral:rRNA from 1 species